GAUGACAGGUUGAUGACUCCCAAGAGCUUUUAUCGACAGAGUCAUUUAGCACAUCGAUAUCGACUCAUCACAUCCUUGGGUUGAAGAAGGUCCCAAGGGUUUGGUUGUUUGGCGAUUGAAGUUGUAUGUGAAUUGGGUUUAGAAUGUCGUGAGAUAGUCU
rfam:Lupinus angustifolius cultivar Tanjil contig_18456, whole genome shotgun sequence.